AAUGAACGCUGGCGGCAGGCCUAACACAUGCAAGUCGAACGGGAUCUUCGGAUCUAGUGGCGGACGGGUGAGUAACGCGUGGGAACAUACCCCUUUCUUCGCAAUAGCCUCGGGAAACUGGGAGUAAUACCGGAUACGCCCUUCGGGGGAAAGAUUUAUCGGUAAGGGAUUGGCCCGCGUUGGAUUAGGUAGUUGGUGGGGUAAUGGCCUACCAAGCCGACGAUCCAUAGCUGGUUUGAGAGGAUGAUCAGCCACACUGGGACUGAGACACGGCCCAGACUCCUACGGGAGGCAGCAGUGGGGAAUCUUAGACAAUGGGGGAAACCCUGAUCUAGCCAUGCCGCGUGAUCGAUGAAGGCCUUAGGGUUGUAAAGAUCUUUCAGAUGGGAAGAUAAUGACGGUACCAUCAGAAGAAGCCCCGGCUAACUCCGUGCCAGCCGCCGCGGUAA
rnacentral:rRNA from 1 species